GAGGUCCAAAGAGCAUAAAGGUAUGAAACCUGGGUGGGGCAAGUCUCUUUGUUCCACACAGUGAGUAAGCCAGCAAACGGGAUCAAGAAGCAGCAUGGCUCCAGGGGCAUGGAAAAAGGCAUGUGCUGGGCCUGGAUAAUGGCAUAGCAGACGCCUUGUCUCGUUUCCAGUUUGACUGAUUUCAAGAGCUUGCACCAGGGCAGAUGAACCUGAGCAGAUGCCGCUGGCUUUCUGGAACCUCGGAAUAUGAUGUGGUUGGCGGAAUGGAGAUUUUUGGCUCCAGGCUUACAAGUUGUUUAUUUUGUUUUCUUUUAAGAAGUCUUGUCAAUUCAAGGAUCCAGAGAAUGGGUUGCCUACAUUGACCUACCUGGGCAUUCAGCUGGACACCAGGGAGGGCGUAUCUCGGCUCCUAUACGACCCUCCGUGGAGGGCGGUUGUUGCAGUACCGGUCAAGGACAAUACAGCUGCUGGUGCUCCUUGAGGAUUACACAAGGAACAAUGGGUUCUUCCUCCCCAGAGGACAUUUGGAGAUGUCUGGGAACCCAGCGGGGUUGCAGGGGAGGCAGCAGCAGGGAGCCAACCCCCCCCGAUUCUCAUAGCCCACCUUAACCCUUUUACGAGGGUGGUGGAUGGGUCUGCCUUGGGCUCUUGCAUGGAGAAGAGAUCUGGAUUUCCAGGGAAAUCUCAUCCAAGUCCUGGUGGCAGUUGAGCUUGGUGCUGUACACAAAAAAAGGUUUGAAAGUGACCUUUUUGGCAUAAAUCCGAUGCAGCUUGUGAUGAUUUCCUGAUGGUGAACCUCACAGGCAGUUCACUCCAGUUCUCGCACUAAUAUCCACCUGAGCAGGAAAGCAAAGCAUGAACCUGGCAUGGAGACUGAGCUACCCUCUCCCACUGCUCAGGGUGAUCCCUUCAUGUCAGCGAUGGGUCCGUGUAAGGAAGCUUGCCCUGCUUCUGUCAGCACUGUUCCGGUUUUGAGGACAAUCAGUAGAGUUUGGGUUCUACUACUAUCAAUUCAGGGGCAGUAACAGUCCUUUAAAAUUUUGUUUUCAUAAAAAACAUUUUAAAAUAUUAAGGAGAAUUCUGACUAGAAAUGUGAACUCUGAAGCCAAUUCUUCCCCAUUCAGGUAGAAUUUGCCAUCUUCUUAUCCUUAUCCGUAUCUUAUAGACUCCAUGUGAGAGAAAAACCUAUGUCUGACUUUCACAAUCAAGCCUCAUCCUGGCAGGAUAAAGUAAUGUAUAAUCCAGGCCCAUAUUUUUCACUCUUUAACAGUCCAAUGCUUUUUGUCCUUUACAUCAAAGGAAAAUAAUCAUAAUCCACAGAAAAUAUGAAAUUUAAGCUAUGAAAACCCGUCUCAGAUUUGUAUGAUAAUUUAAAAGUUGUUUGUUUUUUAAGAGUUACACAUUUCACAACCACUUUGCACAAUGAUGCUACCUUUGUGACAAGUGGUCACGUGCUUUAAUCAAAACUGAUAUAUAGUUAGGGGGGUUGUUUUAUGUUUUAAGUGCAUGUAUUUGCAAUUGUGAAUGUAUCUGCUAAUCAACAACUUUCAACUGACCUAGUACCUGUAAGCAAAACAAAUUUUCCUUUCACACCUAGGAGGCAGCCUACUUAAAUGUUAUUAUGGCAUUUUUCUUAGGACAAUCCAGUGCCUUUUGGCACAGACCCGAAUAGGAGGGCCGGCCGCGCCCCGCCCCAGCUCCAGCCCCAGCUUACCUGCUGCCUCCGUUUCAGGCUUCCC